rnacentral:lncRNA from 1 species
AUGUCCACGGGGGGGCAAAGCAGCCUUUCCGAAAACAUGCCUGUUGAUGAGACUCGGAGCCUUCAAAAGUCGGCGUUUCCCGCGUUCCGGAUGGGCCUGAAAAGGCCUUUCCAGUCCAGCCGUUCUGCGAAGCCCGAGAAACUCUCUGGAGUUUCCAUAGCGUGUGUCCCUCAAAGGCGUGUGUGGUCUCUUGAACGGGCGCUGGACCGGAGAGCAGGGACUGAGCACCUUUCAGAGUUUGGUUCCUGCGGACGGGACGAGGACAAAGGCCCCGAUUGUCGAGCACCGUUUGUCCUGGAGAGACCGGCUCUGCUCCACGUCGUUGAGGCGAAAUUUCCUGGGAGACAGCCCCACAGACCGGGAGAGCCGAAGGUGAAGCGAGUCGAGGAAGCUGCCUAGGCCUGUCUCUCUCUCCCCCCCCCCCCAAUCUGAAGACCGAGGGUCAGCGGACCGACCAGCACUCCGGUUUGUGGAUCUCGUUCUCUCUCAUCGCCUUCUUCGGCCUUCGCGUCAAGAAGGACACUCUGUCCCUCUCUUCCUCGUGCCAGGCCGUGGGACUUUUUGUGCUGGGGCAUAGUGAUGCUGUACGUUUCUGUUCGGUGAUGACAUGGACAGAUGGGAAGGAGACCGCCCGCCCACCGAUGGCGUUUGACCGAGAUAAGGCAGGAAUGCCGGACCUUUGCAUGAGACCACGCAGAUGGGCCGCCUUCUGUCUUAGGCUCUGAGAGACCAGAAGGGAGCAGUGGGGAGGCUGCGAGCUGCUUCUGGAAGACUGCCCCCCCCGCAACCAGGGCCCACCUAAUUGGUAGGGUUGCCCCCCCCAGUUGCUUCUCUUCUCCGGGUCCCGACAGCAGCCUUCCUCCCCCCCACACCCACCCGGGGACCCACGAUGGGGGCAGGUCUCUCUGCUGGGGCCAUUGUGGCGAUUGUCUUCAACGGCGUCAUUGCCUUCCUCCUCCUCCUCCUCUUCCUCAUCCUCUGCAAGGCCUGCCGGACGCCUGCUUGCCCAGACCAGAGCCCUUCCUCGGAGACCGACGAGCGGGGAAAUGAGGAGAAGUAUCUGCUCCAGGCUUGACCCCUCAAGUCUGGAGGACGUCGCGCAAGCUGGCCCUCUGUCCAGCCGUCCAGUUUGGUCAGCAGAGCUGCUAGAAGCUCCCCCACACCAGCCACGUGGUGGCUGAGCCCCUUUGGCAAAGGGCUGGUUGCUGUGAGCAGAGAUGAGUGGCCCACCGUCCUGGCCCGGAGACGAGGGGAGGGCUCUCCCUCCCAUGGGGCAAGGAGCCCCCCACCCCCCUAAGCGGCCGACGGAGACGGGACAGAGAGACGAGCCGGCUUUCAUCUCCUGGCCUGUUGGAUGGCCGUGCCGUGGCCGCCUCAGUGGUGGCUCUGCCAAACCCGGAGACUGGCCCUGUCAAGGUGGUGGCUAGCCCUGCCAUGGAGAAGGCCCAGGACGUGGCCUCUUCUGGAACACGCUGUUUCACGACCCAGGUUUCUAGAAACCCUUGGGUGGGCCGGGGUCUCGUUGAGAGACUUCCUUGCUCCCCUUAUAAGCGGGCCCCACGCUGGCCUCUCCGUCUUCAGGGGCCUUAAGUCUGCCCCGUGGCAGAAAAGGAGUAGAGCCGUGUGAGGCGAUGGGGGUCGGAAGCCUCACGGGAGACGACCAGGCACGGACCGAGCGGGAGGCUUGGCGGGUGGGGGGCAGCACCCCUUGUCCAGAGAGAUGAGUUGAAGCUGCCUCCGAUGCCGGGACCGGUGGCGUCCCAACCCGGCCAGGCCCUUGAGGGCUUUUAUCCCCCCUGAGGGGUAGCCUCUGGGGUACCCUCGUUGUGUCCUUUCGGCACCCCUUCCGGAGCAUCCCGUUUCCACUUCCCGGGAUUCUGGGGAAGGGAGCUGGGGGCAGGCUGUCAGGGGAGGGGAAGGAGGCCCCACGGCCCUCGGGACCAGCUGGCAACGGUGGGGAAAAAAAUGGCAGGUGGGUGGAGAGGUGGGCGAGAGGAAGGGAGAGGGCAGGGAGGAGAGUGGGCAGGAAGGGUGACUCGGUUCCCUGUGCCCACAGCUCUGCCACCACGGCUAGGGUCAUGCAGGGACCGAGCAAAGCAGAUCUCUCUGCUGCAGAAGAAAUGCGAGGGGGAAACUGUGAAAAGCUGAGCACGACAGAACCAAGCACUGUUUCCAAGUUGGGGGAAAGUCCCGCAAGGCAGCAGCAGCCGCUUUGCUGAUGUUCCCAUGGUUGAGUCUGGGAUCUCCGAGCGCAGGGUCUAGUUCAGGCUGGACACCGGCUGAGCCCCCCCCCCCGUGUGUGGGGCCAGGCCUGUGUCCCACCCCAGCUCGGCUGCAAAGGCCUGCCUGGCCAGGGCUAUUCAUGUGGCAGAGGGAGUUGAGCUGGGUGGGGCGUCGGGCUGGCCGAGGUUGCCUUUUGCCCUGUCGGGAGAUGGGGGGGCUGCCCCUUUUGGGGUCUCCCCUUGCCAAAACAGAGGCGCCCGUGUUAGAGAAGCUGAAACAAACAUCUGCCCGAGCUUGGAAAAGACGGCUGCAUUUUUGGACAAGCACUCCCGGAAUUCCCAGCAAGCCUGGGGGAUUUGGGGAGUUGUAGUCCAUGCCUCCAAAUUUUCCCAAGCUCUCCAACCGGAUCCCUUUCUCCCACGAUCUCAUGGAGGCUGCCGUCCGCCGUGAGCCACUGCUUGGGACGGGCCAACGACUUCUGGGCUUGGCCGCCUUCCCUCCCAGCGCCACGGUGGGCUUUCAGAGACCCGUGACCUUCUUCGAGGGAAGCCUCCAUCCAUCCAUCCGCCUCCCCUCCCCUGUUUGGUUUCGAAUGCUAGAGGUCACCACCCACACUGUGACAGUCCAGGAAGGGGGGGGGGGCUUUUCUGCAGAAAAAGGGGGAGGGGAGGCUGUAUGGCUGCAGCUGGAAAGGGGGGGAGAGAGAGGGACCAGGAUGGGAGGAUUGCCCCCCCCAUGUCAGGGGGAGCAGAGGCUCUGAGGCUGCUCCCCCCCCAAACUCAAGCCAAGAGCUCCCGGGCAGCUGGGGCAAGGCAGGCAGGUGAACCGGCCAAAGUCCUUCCGACAGGCAGGCAGAGGUUUAGCCAGGGUCGGGGAGGCGGUGAAGCCACAGCGAGAAGGCGGUGGUGGGGAGGCUGAGUGCUGGGGGGGAUCCAGGGAACUCCUGAGCCACCCCCCCUUGCACUGCUAGGGAGCCCCACUGCUUAUUCCGGUCUUGUUGCUAAUGACUCGCCACUGGCUGCUACAUGUCCCUUCCGGACUGUGAUUUUACUGGACUAAUAAAACAUUGCCCCCUGUUUGUAAUCA